UAUUCACUUUUCUGCUCCUCUUGGC
rnacentral:piRNA from 1 species